GUAAGCACGCAAAAAUUGCUUCGUCUUUUGGUCAAGUUUCUAAUAGAUGAAUUGAUCAACAACAUCAAUAUGUUGAAAGCUUUUUGACUCUUUUGUUUCUUGUGGUGAUAUUGCUUGUAAUUAUUGCUCUUACUGAUCGAGUUAACAUGAAGCUAGAGAGGAAACGAAAAGCAACCGGAUUUGAUUAUUAGGUGAUCGUAGGGUUUUAUGGCAGCUCUUAGGAAUUUAGUCAAAAUAAAUGUAGGAUAAAGAUUGUGUGAUGGUAGAACUUAAUUAUUGAGUAUGAGUUUAUUGAUAAAUUUUAGUUUUAUUCUUAAUUUCAUCUUGUAAAUGGUAAUUAUGCAUUAAGAUAAAAUAGACAAUUCACAUUUAGAAUUUAAGUUGGGUGUAGAAAGAUGUUAGAUGAGUUCA
rnacentral:lncRNA from 1 species